ACCCUUACCUGGAGAUACCAUGACAAUGAAAAUGGUUUUCCUAGUGCAAGGUUUAUCCAUGAACUCAAAUUGCAUUGACCCUUGUAAUUUCUCCAAAUGCUGGGAAAUUUAUUGCAUAAUUUAUUGUAGUGGGGACCUCAUUUGCACUCUUCUCUG